GUUUGAAAAGAAAAGACGACACAAGUAGUGUGUUGAAAGGGAAAGUUGAGAGCGAAAAGCCCAAGGAUUUUGGAAGUGGUGUGCAAGAGCCUGAAAAGAACAAAUUGUUCUNNNNNNUAUAACUUUGAUCUUGAGGAUUUGUUGAGAGCUUCAGCUGAAGUUCUUGGUAAAGGGAGCUACGGAACAGCCUAUAAGGCAGUUUUGGAGGAUGGGACAACAGUAGUGGUGAAAAGGUUGAAGGAAGUUGCGGUUGGAAAGAAGGAAUUUGAGCAGCAGAUGGAGGUUGUAGGGAGGGCUGGACAGCACUCAAAUGUUGUGCCACUCCGUGCUUAUUACUAUUCCAAGGAUGAGAAGCUUUUGGUUUACAACUACAUGCC
rnacentral:misc_RNA from 1 species